GACGAACGCUGGCGGCGUGCUUAACACAUGCAAGUCGAACGGAAAGGCCCUGCUUUUGUGGGGUGCUCGAGUGGCGAACGGGUGAGUAACACGUGAGUAACCUGCCCUUGACUUUGGGAUAACUUCAGGAAACUGGGGCUAAUACCGGAUAGGAGCUCCUGCUGCAUGGGGGGGGUUGGAAAGUUUCGGCGGUUGGGGAUGGACUCGCGGCUUAUCAGCUUGUUGGUGGGGUAGUGGCUUACCAAGGCUUUGACGGGUAGCCGGCCUGAGAGGGUGACCGGCCACAUUGGGACUGAGAUACGGCCCAGACUCCUACGGGAGGCAGCAGUGGGGAAUAUUGCACAAUGGGCGGAAGCCUGAUGCAGCAACGCCGCGUGCGGGAUGACGGCCUUCGGGUGGUAAACCGCUUUCGCCUGUGACGAAGCGUGAGUGACGGUAAUGGGUAAAGAAGCACCGGCUAACUACGUG
rnacentral:rRNA from 1 species